ACGAAACUUGAACUUGAAAAACGCUUGAAUCGAUUCGUUCAUUUUAUUUUUGCUCUUGUUCGAGACGGUUGUGUUUCGUAAACUGUAGUAAACUCUAUUUAAAAUAUUGAAAUGAUCAACGAUUGAACUUGAAAUGUGAUUCAUAAGUGUGAUCACCAUUCCGUAGAAAGCUGGUUCGGAAAGCAGCAUGCGAAUGCUGCGAACAUAACCUUGUUCUUCGUUCCAUGCGACGAUUGCAUCCCGGAAGUGGUUUAAUUUGGGUGCAUCCAAUGCCGAAGACUGAGGACCGAGUCACAAAGGGUCGUUGGAUGUUGAAUUAACAUCGACCAAUCUCGUGCUGAAGGACUCCGAAAGUUGGCACUAACGUUCCCGGAGGAGAUUCGCCGAUUCGUCAGUGAAUGAAAUCCAUAAUUCAUAUGAUGUGUGUCGCUAACCAGUCGGCUACGGGAACCACGCUCCUCUAUUACAGUGAAAUGGGAGCGCCAUCCGUGUGAAUAAAUCAUUUUGAAUAAUGAAAA